rnacentral:lncRNA from 7 species
CUCCCCCCUUUUGGGUCCUGCCGCAUCGGCGUGCACAAAUCACUGUCUGCUGCCACGGUCUGCCGUUUUGCCGUGGACAUGAGGGAGUGUGUUGGUGAGUCGGUGGGUCUACGCCGUGGUCGAAGACGGGGUUGGUGGAGCCGUAGUGCUUCGGGUACAUGCCUCGCAAAUUGGUGUCAUGGCUGAGCGAAUGGCGUGGUCGGAAUCGUACACCGGGGCUUGGCACCCCCUCAAUUCUGCCCCAUGCAGGGAAUCAGCCUUAUUGCAGCACCACCGCAGGUAUGGCCAUUUCUAUCGUCUUCAUUGGUCCAUCUUUGAAGUGUAGUCAACCGCGGGGAAGGAAAUUACUCAUCGGCGGGUCGAGAAUUGCUCACCGGAGCCCUCUAGCACCGUGGCGCCAUGGGCAGGGAGGUAUCCCUGUUUAAACAUUGGUCCGGGGAUCUUUUUGGUUUUGCCUGGUGUUGGGCUAUGUUUAGAGCCGCUGGUCCCUAUGUAUACAUCGUUAGGGCACCGGUUCAUCGAACUUCGGCGGGGCCAUCACCGCGAUAGGAUCAGUGCCACCGUCGGCGUUGGCUGAGUGUAGAAGACAUACGGUGGUCGUGGAGCGCCUGACCAACGGUUAGGAUCAAAAUAUCAUAACCGUUUGCCCCACAAAAUGUCCGCUGUUGAUCUCUGUCUCUGCGAUCAGGAUUGAGUUUCCGUUACUUUAAAUCGCCACCCUCAGUUCCUAAUCUAAGGGCUUGUGGCAUACAACAUUGAGCAAAUCUGGACCAUUCGAUGCUGAUCGGUGGACUAGAUUUGCGUAUCGCUUCGGAUUGAUGUGGAUC